rnacentral:tRNA from 1 species
CCCGCUGUAGCUUAACGGCGAAAAAGCGUCGCCCUGAUAAGGCGAAGACCGCGUGUUCGACUCACGCCGGCGGGACCA